GCAUCGGUAAAAUGGUAAAAUGCUCGCCUGCCACGCGGGCGGCCCGGGUUCGAUUCCCGGCCGAUGCA